rnacentral:rRNA from 1 species
CCCUUAGAUGUUCUGGGCCGCACGCGCGCUACACUGACGAAUGCAACGAGCUUAUAACCUUGGCCGAAAGGUCUGGGUAAUCUCCAAAUUUCGUCGUGAUGGGGAUAGAUUAUUGCAAUUAUUAAUCUUCAACGAGGAAUGCCUAGUAAGCGCAAGUCAUCAGCUUGCGUUGAUUACGUCCCUGCCCUUUGUACACACCGCCCGUCGCUCCUACCGAUUGAAUGGUCCGGUGAAGCGUUCGGACCGUGGCCUUUGGACGGUUCGCCGUCUGUUGGCUGCGGGAAGUUCGAUAAACCUUAUCAUUUAGAGGAAGGAGAAGUCGUAACA